AGUACUCUUACGUAGGUCAACUCGAAAGAUGAGGUGAGACAGAAGAAGCAGCCAACAGAAAACAUACAAAGGAUUUGGGAUGCAUACAUGUUUCCUGGGUGCAGUAUAUUAAAUUACAAACUCAUUCACUUGAAGGAACAUAUGAAAGAACAUUUCACACAAGUGAUCCAAGAAUUGAGAACCCAUAAUCCACAUACAGUCUUUCUAGAGAAUUUUUGGUACACAACAAAGAAAUGUUGGAAUCUAAGUACUCUUGGUUCCUUUUCUUACAACUAUCAAUUGCCAAUCUCUCUCUCUCCUCUCUACCUACCUUUCAAUUUAAAUACUUUUCGAAAACAAAAUAUUUUCAAGAAAAGAAAAAGUAAUAAACUAAUAAUACCUCACAAAUUUUCAAUUGCUUUAAAGAAUAAAUUUGUUUGGUUGCAUCACAUUUGAUUGGAACAAUUUUGGACCUACGAGGAAAGCCCAAAUGAGGGACACUAAAUGAGUUGCAAACAGAUCCAAGAGAGGCACCAUUAAAGAGAGUGUGAGGCAACUAGACCACUUGGUCCAACUAGCUCGCAUCGGCCUCGGAGGCUGAGGCCAUCUUGUCCUCCAAAGAGUCUACACUUUGCAAGCUCUCAUUUGAUUCCCCCUAUGAUCCAACCUUUCAUAAGUCCUAUCCCUAGAAGGAUGAAAGGAACCUAGGUUUAGGCCCCCCCACUAUGUUACAACUUUGUAGGAGGUAAGUUCAUCUUCUUCCCUAAAAUAUAAACAUAGAAAAACUGUAGUUAAAAACCUAACUGUUUCAUCUCCUAUAAUUAUUAAUUUAGUUGACAUUUUAUGUUUU